AGUGCAUACCGCUCUAAACAAACAUGGAAAAUGUAGCUGGUAAUGUUCACUCAGCAUUUUGUUUUGUUGUUAAACUAUGGGUAAAAUGAGCGGUGAUGUUAAAUCACCGGUUUCAGAUAACCUCCCUACAGUACCGUCUGUUUGCUGCAUGGUUUCAAGGUAAAGGC